rnacentral:rRNA from 1 species
AUUGAACGCUGGCGGCAGGCCUAACACAUGCAAGUCGAGCGGAUGAAGGGAGCUUGCUCCUGGAUUCAGCGGCGGACGGGUGAGUAAUGCCUAGGAAUCUGCCUGGUAGUGGGGGAUAACGUCCGGAAACGGGCGCUAAUACCGCAUACGGCCUGAGGGAGAAAGUGGGGGAUCUUCGGACCUCACGCUAUCAGAUGAGCCUAGGUCGGAUUAGCUAGUUGGUGGGGUAAAGGCCUACCAAGGCGACGGUCCGUAACUGGUCUGAGAGGAUGAUCAGUCACACUGGAACUGAGACACGAUCCAGACUCCUACGGGAGGCAGCAGUGGGGAAUAUUGGACGAUGGGCGAAAGCCUGAUCCAGCCAUGCCGCGUGUGUGAAGAAGGUCUUCGGAUUGUAAAGCACUUUAAGUUGGGAGGAAGGGCAGUAAGUUAAUACCUUGCUGUUUUGACGUUACCAACAGAAUAAGCACCGGCUAACUUCGUG